UACGGAGGGUGCAAGCGUUAUCCGGAUUUACUGGGUUUAAAGGGUGCGUAGGUGGGUCUGUAAGUCAGUGGUGAAAUCUCCGGGCUUAACCCGGAAACUGCCAUUGAUACUAUAGGUCUUGAAUUAUCUGGAGGUAAGCGGAAUAUGUCAUGUAGCGGUGAAAUGCUUAGAUAUGACAUAGAACACCAAUUGCGAAGGCAGCUGGCUACACAAAUAUUGACGCUGAGGCACGAAAGCGUGGGGAUCAAACAGG
rnacentral:rRNA from 1 species